CCUCCUUAACGGCUACACCGCUUUUACCUCUUCAUUCCUCGUGUUAAUGUGUGGAACGGAGAACUCAGGAAGAAGCAAGUCCUUGGAUUCCGCUUGGAAGGGAGGGAAGAGGUUUGGCUGGGCUGAUCCCGAAGUCGGUGCACCAGACAACAGGAGCAUGGGGGAGCCAGGAGGAGGGAUGAGAGCCUGAAAAGAGGACCAAGUAGGCACAGUGCGUCUCGGUACUGGUGUCCCGGGCCUUGGCAAGGCUGGAUGGUGAAUGUAUGUCUUGGCUAUUAUGGCUGUGCGGG